rnacentral:rRNA from 1 species
GAUGAACGCCGGCGGCGUGCCUAAUACAUGCAAGUCGAGCGAACAGACGAGGAGCUUGCUCCUCUGACGUUAGCGGCGGACGGGUGAGUAACACGUGGAUAACCUACCUAUAAGACUGGGAUAACUUCGGGAAACCGGAGCUAAUACCGGAUAAUAUAUUGAACCGCAUGGUUCAAUAGUGAAAGACGGUUUUGCUGUCACUUAUAGAUGGAUCCGCGCCGCAUUAGCUAGUUGGUAAGGUAACGGCUUACCAAGGCGACGAUGCGUAGCCGACCUGAGAGGGUGAUCGGCCACACUGGAACUGAGACACGGUCCAGACUCCUACGGGAGGCAGCAGUAGGGAAUCUUCCGCAAUGGGCGAAAGCUUGACGGAGCAACGCCGCGUGAGUGAUGAAGGUCUUCGGAUCGUAAAACUCUGUUAUUAGGGAAGAACAAAUGUGUAAGUAACUAUGCACGUCUUGACGGUACCUAAUCAGAAAGCCACGGCUAACUACGUG